rnacentral:lncRNA from 1 species
GGGAAGAAAUGUAACUACAGCCAAGUGACUAAAAACAAAUAAUGACAAAGAUGAAUUCUGCUUCUCUGUGGCCUUUAAAAAACUUCUCACGGAUUCUUUGCACAACAGCAGUUGCUGACCGGCCAGAGGGAACGGAGCAGUUUUCAAUAUCCCAAAAAACUCCAAUGGGGGGAGAAGACAAAUCUAAAAGUCAAGUAACUUUAAGCCCACAAUAAAUCCACCUCCAAGCAUGAGCCAUUCUGACAUUAAGCAGUGAUGCUUCUCUGAACACAAGCACACUAACUGACCGGAUACUGCAGCUCCAGGACCCGACUUUCAAGCUUAGCCCACACUUAUCUACCUACUUGGUAGUAACCAACACUGAGGAGCUGACAAAGGGUGAAGCUGUUACUGUUGUUGAUUUUGAGUUAACGCUCCAUUAACAUCUGAUUUAAUAUUUUAAAAAUGUUUUCAAAACGUCGCAUUAACUACUUUUUAGGGAAAUUAUUUUAACUGAGAACUCUUUGGUUUUCAAAUACUGUUUUUAAUCAGCCAUUAGUAAAUUAUUCUAAGCACUUCUAGGGAGUAUACCGUCAACAAGUGCGAUUUCCAACCUAAGGUGACACCAAGUCUUUUCCAGCACUUUUAUUUCUCC